rnacentral:rRNA from 1 species
AUGCAAUUCUGGUCCCUGGAGGGGGCUGAGGAGGUGCUGGUGAGGUUGUGCCGCGUCGACCGCCUCGACAGCAGGACGCAUGAGCGCGACCACACCAAGCUGUUCGCCUGCUGGGUCUGGGUGUGGGACGUGGCGCACAUCCCGACAACCCACACCCUGUGGGUGCUGAAGCGCGGCGCCGGUCGCGUCGAUGAGCUGCUGGGCUACCCCCCCCCAGAGCGCAGGGUGGCGCCCCCGCCUGGUGCGCAUCGCUACGACCUCCUCAUCCACGUCGAUAGGGUGGAAGACUGG